UGCAUGGAGCCGACCUUGAAAUACCACCCUUUAAUGUUUGAUGUUCUAACGUGGACCCGUUACCCGGGUUGCGGACAGUGUCUGGUGGGUAGUUUGACUGGGGCGGUCUCCUCCUAAAGAGUAACGGAGGAGCACGAAGGUUGGCUAAUCCUGGUCGGACAUCAGGAGGUUAGUGCAAUGGCAUAAGCCAGCUUGACUGCGAGCGUGACGGCGCGAGCAGGUGCGAAAGCAGGUCAUAGUGAUCCGGUGGUUCUGAAUGGAAGGGCCAUCGCUCAACGGAUAAAAGGUACUCCGGGGAUAACAGGCUGAUACCGCCCAAGAGUUCAUAUCGACGGCGGUGUUUGGCACCUCGAUGUCGGCUCAUCACAUCCUGGGGCUGAAGUAGGUCCCAAGGGUAUGGCUGUUCGCCAUUUAAAGUGGUACGCGAGCUGGGUUUAGAACGUCGUGAGACAGUUCGGUCCCUAUCUGCCGUGGGCGCUGGAGAACUGAGGGGGGCUGCUCCUAGUACGAGAGGACCGGAGUGGACGCAUCACUGGUGUUCGGGUUGUCAUGCCAAUGGCACUGCCCGGUAGCUAAAUGCGGAAGAGAUAAGUGCUGAAAGCAUCUAAGCACGAAACUUGCCCCGA
rnacentral:rRNA from 1 species